GACGAACGCUGGCGGCGUGCUUAACACAUGCAAGUCGAACGGAAAGGCCCGGCGUUUGUGGGGUGCUCGAGUGGCGAACGGGUGAGUAACAGGUGAGUAACCUGCGCUUGACUUUGGGAUAACUUCAUGAAACUGGGGCUAAUACCGGAUAGGAGCUACUGCUGCAGGGUAGGGGUAGGAAAGUUGCGGCGGAUGGGGUUGGACUCGCGGCUUAUCAUGGUGGGGUUGGGGUAGUGGCUUACCAAGGCUUGUAGCGGUAGCCGGCCUGAGAGGGUGACCGGCCACAUUGGGACUGAGAUACGGCCCAGACUCGUACGGGAGGCAGCAGUGGGGAAUAUUGCACAAUGGGCGGAAGCCUGAUGCAGCAACGCCGCGUGCGGGAUGACGGCCUUCGGGUUGUAAACCGCUUUCGCCUGUGACGAAGCGUGAGUGACGGUAAUGGGUAAAGAAGCACCGGCUAACUACGUG
rnacentral:rRNA from 1 species